UACGUAGGGGGCAAGCGUUGUCCGGAAUCAUUGGGCGUAAAGCGCGCGUAGGCGGCUAGAUCAGUCUGCUGUAAAAGUCAAAGGCUCAACCUUUGAAAGCCGGUGGAUACUGUCUAGCUAGAGUCCGGAAGAGGCGAGUGGAAUUCCUGGUGUAGCGGUGGAAUGCGCAGAUAUCAGGAGGAACACCAACGGCGAAGGCGGCCCUCUGGCUCGUUGCUGACGCUGAAACGCGAAAGCGUGGGGAGCAAACAGG
rnacentral:rRNA from 1 species